CGGAUGCAGCUGCGGCGGAAGGCUGAAUUCAGAAAUUCAGAAGCUGGAUCCUGCCCUCUGGCCCUCUGGGACUGAGGAAUUGUACCUUAGGGGUGCACACCUUGGAGAAAGCACACACCUCCAGUUUGUUGGACAGCAGGAUCAAAAACCAACCCACCAACACCUUAAAAACAUAUGUAUUUAUUUUAUGGAGGCAUCCUCUGAUAAAGAAUGCUAAGACCUUACCAAAGAUUUCACAGGGACACAGAAGACAAGCAGGGAAUGAAGAUCC
rnacentral:lncRNA from 1 species